rnacentral:rRNA from 1 species
AUUGAACGCUGGCGGCAUGCCUUACACAUGCAAGUCGAACGGCAGCACGGGAGCAAUCCUGGUGGCGAGUGGCGAACGGGUGAGUAAUAUAUCGGAACGUGCCCAGUCGUGGGGGAUAACGUAGCGAAAGCUACGCUAAUACCGCAUACGAUCUAUGGGAUGAAAGCGGGGGAUCGCAAGACCUCGCGCGAUUGGAGCGGCCGAUAUCAGAUUAGGUAGUUGGUGAGGUAAAGGCUCACCAAGCCGACGAUCUGUAGCUGGUCUGAGAGGACGACUAGCCACACUGGGACUGAGACACGGCCCAGACUCCUACGGGAGGCAGCAGUGGGAAUUUUGGACAAUGGGCGCAAGCCUGAUCCAGCAAUGCCGCGUGCAGGAUGAAGGCCUUCGGGUUGUAAACUGCUUUGUACGGAACGAAACGGUGAGCUCUAAUACAGUUUGCUAAUGACGGUACCGUAAGAAUAAGCACCGGCUAACUACGUG